rnacentral:lncRNA from 1 species
GCACAAACAUGUUCAUGUAAGUUAUGUGUUGUCUCACCAUGGUUUCCAAUGACAAUAACGAGUGAAGAUAGAAAUAGCUUCUUUAUAUUAUGGUAAUUUCUUCUCCUCAAUAUUUUCAGAUUUAUGUUGGGAUUGGUUAAUUCAAAUAACCAUACAUGCUAUUCUUACAUUGAAAAUAUUUUACUUGAAAAUAUUUCUAAUCUCUUUAUAUUGUAGUUAAAUUGUACGUGAGCUAAUUUGUCUAAUAAAAAACAGGCAAUUACAUAGACUAAUUUGAUUGGUUUUAUUUGAUUAAAAAGCUACCAUCUUCAAAAAAUAGAAUAAUGUUUUGGUAUUCUAAAACAAAAAGUGGUAUCAUAAACGAAGCUUAGGAGAGACAUAUCACAAUCAUCUCAAUGUCUUUAUCAUUUUUUUUUUCAAAAUAAAAAUAACUUAUAAAAAUUAAAAAAUAUAUUAAGUAAAAAAACUAGACUACUUAUUUUAAUUUUAAUUUUAUGUGUUUUGAA